rnacentral:misc_RNA from 1 species
GAAAUAAACCUGAUGGGUUGUUGCUGGCUCUUUAGGGAGCAUGUGCACACCUUGUCAUCUUUAUAUCUCCACCUGUGCACCUUUUGUAGACCCCUCCAGGUCUAUGUCGCUUCAUUUACCCCCAAUGUAUGUUGAUAGAAUGUCAUGGAAAAUAUAUAUAUAUAUAUACAACUUUCAGCAACGGAUCUCUUGGCUCU